AGGCUUAAUAGCUCUUUUGGUCCCUCACUUAUUAUAAUUUUGCAUUUUUGGUCCCCAAUAAAAAAACUAGCACUUUUGGUCCUCCACAUUGCUUAAUUUUUUGGAAAAAUGAUCCCUAUUUCACUAUUUGGGACUAAAAUGGCAAAAGUGUGUAAAUGUAAGGGACUAAUUAUGCUAAUUUUUUUCUAGAGGGACCAAAAGUGCAAAAUCGUGAUAAGUGAGGGACCAAAAGAGCUAUUAAGCUU
rnacentral:pre_miRNA from 1 species